GACAGGAACAUGGGGUAGAAGGAACAUCUAUGGAGGAAAGAAGAAAUCCAGACCCGGAAAGGUUCAAAGGUCAAGGGAGAAACUGACAGCCAGCUUACCUCAGUUCCUGCCCCGACCAGGACCCUGGCAGGUACCAGCUCAGGGCUGCCCCCAAGGCAUAAGAAAGUCCCCAGGCUAGGGAAUCAAAUCAGAGCGGCAGCUGCCAACUUAUGCCACGGCCACAGCAACAACAGAUCACCGCCGUGUCUGCGACCUAUACCACAACUCACAGCAACGCCAGAUCCUAACCCCCUGAGCAAGGCCAGGGAUCGAACUCGCAUCCUCACAGAUACUACUCAGGCCCACACGUGCAGCAUGUGUUCCAGGCUAGAGGUCAAAUUGGAGCUGUAGCUGCUGCCCUACACCACAGGCACAGCAACUCCAGAUCCGAGCUGCAUCUGCAAACGACACUACAAAUCACCGCAAUGCUGGAUCCUUAACACACUGAGCGAAGCCAGGGAUCGAACCCGCAUCCUCAUGGAUCCCAGUCAGGGACAGGAACACAGCCAGGCCCUCCAGGCUCUGCCUGUGCACCUGACAGCCUGUCCCCCGAUAGCCACCACGCAGGCACCUUUGCAUCUCUGAGGUGCCGUCCACCUGGGCACAGCCUCCGGGAAGAGGAUGCCUCCAGCGGCCACGGGAGAGCUAGGCAGGGUGCUCCAGGCCACAGCCCCCAUGCACAGGUUCUGAGUGGCGUGUCAGCUUCUGGGUCUCAUCCUCUAACGGCCAGGGCCAGGCUUUUUCCUUUCUGGGUCUGGACAGUGAGUCUGCUGAGCCCUACCCUCCGUCGGCACUUGGCUCCAAGGAUGCAGCUGCUUCAUCAUCUCCUGCCCUAGGACACCAGGUGCAAAGCAGAAUAUAAAGACCUGUUUUGGAGUUUGCGGGGAGCCGAGGAAAUGCAGGGACUCGAGGAAGGGACCUUGCCUGAUGGCAGAAAAACCCGAAGGCAGGUUCCUAGCCAAGGAAGGGAGCUCGCCUGAAUGGUACAAGCUGAAGGUGGGCUUCUGGUCAGGAGAAAAGCCUGCCUGAACGGUGAAAAACCGAGGGCGGCCCUAGAUUACACGACUCUCAUGUUGACGUUGAUGGGGAAGAAUUGGGGCUUUCCUGGGGAAACAAUUUCCAUGUUCGCACCGGAGAACAUGGGUUGUUUCUCGGAUGACCUAGUCUUUCCUGUUGUUUUACUUGCUAUUCAGUUUUUCCUCAGUCUUUCCUGAGUAUUUGCUUAUUAUUAUUUUCCAUUCUUAUUUUCCUGUGGUGAUUUGUGCUUUAACAAAAUUACAAAAAUAAUAUAAUAAGAAUUUCAUCCUGAUGGACUUUCCCCUAUUCAAAUCCAAUUUAAUUAAAAACAUAGUGUUUAUCUACUAACUAGUUAUACAGUAAACUUUAGAGUUAGGAUUUUAAUGAGGUUCAUAGAAGUUGGAUAUAUAUUAUUCAUGAUCAAAAGAAACCUAGCUAUGAGUUUUGUCCUUGAUUUUAGAAGCUUUUACAUUAUAGCUAGUUAAGUUGAUUUAUAUUUUUUUUUACUGUCUUCCUGCCAUGACGCUUUGAAGAUGAGCAUUAAUCUAAAAACAAAACUUGUGAAUGCCAAAUCCUUAUGUCUGUAGCCUUUUUAACUGUUAGCUAACCACAAGAUGCUCUGUACUAAAUCUUCUUAUUUUCACAUGAUGUUUUUUUCCGCAUGAUCUAUUGUACUCAUGAUGUUUGGGGCUUAUUGAUCUUAGUUUUAAUUAAAGAUCUUAGAACGUAAUGCAUAACUACCGUACCCUGUGAUCAGAAAACAUAAUCUAAAAGUUAACCUUUAGAAGUUAACCUUCAGGUGUACUUUUAACAUUGUGGUGUAAUUAAAAACUAUCUAUAUAAACAAUCAUCUAUGCCAAUAAAAUCCAAGCAGUCCAGCGCUCUGAAAAAGAGACAAAGAGGCUGUCUCCGUGUGCAUUCGCCGACACCGUCCAUCCCCGACAGUGCUGGGCUCCUGCCCUGGUGUUCAGGAGACUUCCCGAAGAGGAGGGGCGGCAGGCGCAGGAAUAACGGAGAUGCCCACACUCCCGAGUAGUGCUCAAGCAGCCUCAAACUUAUUGGUGAACAGCAGCAGCUUAUGUAGGGCAAAAACGUAAAACGUACAUCAGCAAAAAAGAUCAAUAUCUCAUAACUGUGCCAGGGUUACAGAUUAAGUGUAAAGAUAGAAAAAGACACCUGGGUUGGGGAAAGUACACCCUAAACCCAUUAAAGAGUAAACAAGCAGAAAGCUCGAGGCACAUACGGGUCACAAACAACCUGGUAAAUGUCACGUACACCUCACUGUCCUUUAAGACAAAUGUCUAUUUACUACAAUCUUACUUUAACUCCCAACCUUAUAAUAGAUUUUUAUACUUAUACAAUAAAGUAAUAAUCAUCAAUUCCUAA
rnacentral:lncRNA from 1 species